UACGGAGGACCCGAGCGUUAUCCGGAUUUAUUGGGUUUAAAGGGUGCGCAGGCGGGAGAUUAAGUCGGCGGUGAAAUUUUGCAGCUCAACUGUAAAAGUGCCUUCGAAACUGGUUUCCUUGAGUGUAGAUGAAGUAGGCGGAAUUUGUGGUGUAGCGGUGAAAUGCAUAGAUAUCACGAGGAACUCCGAUUGCGCAGGCAGCUUACUAAACUACUACUGACGCUCAGGCACGAAGGCGUGGGGAUCAAACAGGAUUAGAUACCCUGGUAGU
rnacentral:rRNA from 1 species